GAGGGCAAGGACUUUCACCGCUUUUGUUUACUGAUACAAUUCACCUGGAACAGAGACCGUGUCGUGGCUCAGGAACAGUUUGCUGAACGCAGGAAGGAAGGACGAUAAUUUGGAAAGGGGUCUGCGGUCUAAAAAUGGGCCGCCGGCCGCUCGGGCACCUGAAGGGACAGAAGCGGGCGCAGGAGCCCCAACAAGCCACGGCGGAGCGGGACGGUCCGUCCAGCGGCGGCCUCCGCAUGGCCCCACCGUGAGCGGCUGGACCCAGCGACUGGGAGCCAGAGCGGUGAGUGGGGCCGCGGGGCCACCUCGUCCCCAGAGCCAGCGCGCUCCGGGACCCGCCCCUCCCAAAUCCGUGCUGGGGCCCUGGAGGGGCUGCUUGGGGGGGAGCACGCUGGGUGGCGGCGCCGCCCUCCGCCCUCCGUGCCCGCCUGGGUCUGCUAACAAAGCUACAAUUCGAGAUCAAUUCCUUGGCGGCAGGAGCAUCCGAAGGAUACGGUUGUCAUGGAGAUGGGACCGAAAGAGGAAGCCCGGGAUGGCCGAGUCUGGGCCAGGGAGAGAGGGUACUGCUAGAGCACCCCAGGCCAGCCUGCAGGGAGGGUCAAGGCCGGCAGCCCAAUUGUUUCCUGACCCCCACCCCCACCCCCUUUGCCUAAUCCUAGUGUAUCUGUGUGCGCUGAUGGGGUACCAGUGGGAGCUUGUUGGCCAGGAACCUUGGGUGUUGGGUGUGGGGCCUGCUGGCAGCCACCUUUACCACAGAGCAGCUUUGAGGAUUUAUUUCUGUUUCCAGUUUCCCAACUUUGACAGCCUGGCUUGGUGGCCAGGCCUCAGCGGCUCUGAGCUCUGCCGCUGGAGCAAGGCUCGCGUGGGGGCGUGGCAGGCAGUGGGCAAGGCCAGGAGGCACAUAAUGGCUGUGGCCGCUGCAGGGAGGGAGGGUCCUUGGAGUCGCUGUUGGGUCUGGGGUGGGGCACGGGGUCCUGAUGGGGACCACCCUGCCUAG
rnacentral:lncRNA from 1 species